UCCUUGGAAGCUGUCUGAAGUAGAAUGUGCUAAUCUUCGACCGAGAGGAUAAUUGGAGCAUAUCUUCCAAGGUUGUCUCUCACUACACUUGCAUAUGAGAGAGAGAGAGUUUCUUGUUGUGUUUUACCAGUACAUGGAGUCAAAUAUGGUCAUAUAUCUCUAGAUUUCAAUUUCAUUUGAUCUGAUUGCAAAGAAUAUUAAAUUUUCGAUAUAGUUAGCAAUAACAAAUAGAGUAAUAAAGCUUCACCACAUCGGGAUUAUCAACAGAAUCUUAAAAAUUAAAGAAGGUAACAGUAUACACUGAAUUCAAACGCAGCAGUUUAUAGAGAGAGAGAGAGAGACAAGCAUACGCUCAGCUGAGAAAAAAGUUCAUCAUCUUAGAGAAUUAAAGAAGGUAACAGUAUACACUGAAUUCAAACGCAGCAGUUUAUAUAGAGAGAGAGAGAGACAAGCAUACGCUCAGCUGAGAAAAAAGUUCAUCAUCUUAGAGGUAAGUAAGCAAAACCGCAAUAACAGUGCUUGUGACAAGUUUUUUGGAUCAAGGGGAGGAGGGAUUACAAACAUCAAAGACUGAAAGCUUUGCAUUUUUUGAGAAUUAUAUUAUUCAGAUUCUGAUAAUCCAAAGAGAAAUUGUGUGUGUGUGUGUGUGUGUGUGUGUGUUUUUUUAUGCUCUAACACAUAAUGUAACCGUGAGAGCAG